AGACUACGACGUGUCUCCCAGCGAUCCCAAGAUACAAGAAGUGUAUAUCCCUUUCUCUGCUAUUUAUAACACUCAAGGAUUUAAGGAGCCUAAUAUACAGACGUAUCUCUCCGGCUGUCCAAUAAAAGCACAAGUUCUGGAAGUGGAACGCUUCACAUCUACAACAAGGGUACCAAGUAUUAAUCUUUACACUAUUGAAUUAACACAUGGGGAAUUUAAAUGGCAAGUUAAGAGGAAAUUCAAGCAUUUUCAAGAAUUUCACAGAGAGCUGCUCAAGUACAAAGCCUUUAUCCGCAUCCCCAUUCCCACUAGAAGACACACGUUUAGGAGGCAAAACGUCAGAGAGGAGCCUCGAGAGAUGCCCAGUUUGCCCCGUUCAUCUGAAAACAUGAUAAGAGAAGAACAAUUCCUUGGUAGAAGAAAACAACUGGAAGAUUACUUGACAAAGAUACUAAAAAUGCCCAUGUAUAGAAACUAUCAUGCCACAACAGAGUUUCUUGAUAUAAGCCAGCUGUCUUUCAUCCAUGAUUUGGGACCAAAGGGCAUAGAAGGUAUGAUAAUGAAAAGAUCUGGAGGACACAGAAUACCAGGCUUGAAUUGCUGUGGUCAGGGAAGAGCCUGCUACAGAUGGUCAAAAAGGCUGUCAGAACCCACCUGUCUGUGUGCACAGCAGUCUGGGAAGUGUCAACAGCUCCCAGGAGCAGCCAUCAGCCAAGAACUGAUCGGAGUCCAGCCCCAUCCUCCUCAGUUGGGGUGACUCUGCAGCAGUCUCUACACUGUCUCCCAGAACUCCUUAGCUGGCUUACAGCACAGCUGCCCACAAUAAAAAGC
rnacentral:lncRNA from 1 species